rnacentral:rRNA from 1 species
AUGAUUGCUACGAGAUCCACGGUGGUACAAAUUGAUGUUCGAUUGCCAAACACCCGAGCGGUCCUUUGCUUCCACAGAUUCCAGCAAAUUAGCAUGACCAUUGCGUCGAAACCUUUCCUGAGUUGUUUGGUCACCUGUUUUCUAGCAGCAAGCCACCAAGGUUGGAUGUGGUCAGUUGCUGUAGGGAUGAGCCCCAGGUUGAUUCUCCUCUUGCUGAAAACUAGAUACCAAACCUGCCGAAACCAGCCACAUGAACAGUUUGCAAGCCAUCGGGGCCCAGCAACUCCAGAGUCCUAUGGAGCAUUCAUCUUGGUUGUCAGCCUUUUCGAGAUGCAUGUGCGCCCUCUGCCUGCGCGCCGCGUGCGCGUCGUGCGCUGCGCCAAAGCGCACAGCCGCACGAACCCUAGCCCCCAACCCGCAGCCGCCACAAUCUUCCCUCCUUACUUCCUCGUCAACACAGGCGCCGCACCCCUCCCUUCUCCCCCUUCCCGCAGCCCCAGGAGCUCCGCCGUACCAUUCGACGAGAUCCACCGCCUCCCGAGGUCCAUAUCCACCCCAGGUCGCGAGGAAGUCGCGGGAGGAGGAGAACCCUCGUCGCAAGGAAGAUGCAGGAGGAGGAGGUCAGCCGGGCGUCGCCGGCCGGAGAAGGAGGAGAGGCGGGGAUGCCAGCCAAGGAGGCGGAUCGCCUCGCCUCUGCUGCACUGUGAGCGCUGCCGCUGCCUCUGCAUCCACCUUGCCCCGCCGUCAUGGGAUGAGGCUCACCAUGGAAGAGCAGCCGUAGCUCGAUUGACAAGAGCAGGGCAGUGGAUUGGAUUGAGGGCGCCUACAUGGCCACGCCGCUGCUGCCGUCUAGAGUCGCCUUGGGCCGCCGCCUCGAGUGGCCUCCAUCGCCGCCCCGAGUCAAGUCCACCACUGCCGCCAGGAAUCCCGUCCCCGGCAAGCUACGAAGCUAUGCUUUGUUGUAUACUGACUUGUUGCUUGCUGCAGCGACCUGCUGAUGUUGCUGCUGUGCUGGCCAGGGAUUCAGUCAUUGAGGAUUCGAAAAGAGGCAUCAAUGCUCCAGUAGAGGUGGCCUAUAUGUUCAAGUAUGACUCCACUGAUGGCCCCUUUAAAGGAUCCAUUAAGGUCGUGGAUGAUUCAAUACUGGAGAUUAAUGCGAAAAAAAUCACAACCACAAGCAAAAGGGAAAGGAGAAGUCUGAAUGUGCCAACAAGUAGCGACCACUUUCAAGGAAUUAUGAUAUUGGCCAUUUCCACUGAACAUGAAGAGGGCGCAUUAAGAGGAAAUGGGGCGUUGUUAGGCGGGACCUUGCCACUGUUGCCUUGGGUUUUGGCUUCGAAGCACCACCAUGUAUGGCUAGCCUUCCAUGGCUACAUCGAGGGUCCCAAUCUGCAGAAACAUGGAAUCAAUCUGGCUGAAAGUAAUCAUCUUAUGGCGUGGCAUGAAGAGAUGUGUGCAGAUCUGAGAAAGAAGAGGAAUAAUCCAGCAGAAGAAUUUGGUGAAUAA